GAGGGGACACAUGGGAUGGCAAGAAGCAUUUUGUACUUCCCUUUCUUUUCCUGGAGCAGGUGUCCAGGUAGGUUGUUGAGAGAGAAAGAGGCAGGGAGGGUAUUCUGGGCAGAGAAGCAGCUGAAACAGAGCAGGGGCGCGGGGGGCGGGGAAGAUUGCUGCAGGCAGGCUGGCAGGGCCCAGGCGCAGGUGUUAGGACAAGGAUGGGAAGUCCCUUCUCUCUGUUCUCUGAUGCAUCCCCCUGGUGUCUGGGCUGUAUGCAGUAGGCACUCAGUAAACGUUCCCUGAAUGGAAGAGGAUCCCAAGAUGGAUCUCAGUAGUGGAUAAUUUCCAAGAAUCAUGUCUCCAGUAACUGUCUCCUGGGCUCCCCAAAAGUCUCCUGUGAGCAGCUGCUGCCCUGCUGCCCUUGUGCGCCUCAAAGGCGCCCCAUCUCCAGGACGUGCGGGCUGCCCUCCUUGGGUGCCCUCCUCGGGAGCCCCAAACCCACUCCCGCGCUGCGUGCUCUCUGCGCACACUCUGAGUGUGGAAGCACCCGGAAGCCCACUGCUCGGUGGACCCAGGCAGUUGUUCUUGUGUCCACCUGUGUUCCCUCGGCAGCCGGCAGCCCAACCCCGUGAGUGCCGGGGUGCCACAGCCGGCACCCUGUAUCCCAGCGGGCGGCCCAGGCUUAGUCCAACAGCCUAGGAGGAUUGAGACAACCCCAGUGAGGGCUGUGACCUCACGGUCAAUUCCCUGUCGGACAUGCAGUUUCCACGGCACCCCCAGGCAGAUAGGGGGUGUCGCCUCCAAAGGAAGGGAGCCAGUUUUCAAGUUUGCCAAGGGGAAAGCCUGCAGUAGCUUCGGAUUGUGGUUUUUGUUUUGUUUCGUUUGUUUUGUUUUUAGUGGCCUGAGAAGUGGCUUUCUCCCCUCUCCUUCCUCGCAAUGGGAUGAGAAGCCCCCUCUGAGCUGAGCUGCCGGGAAGCGAGGCAGGGGCUGGCUGGCAGGCGACGGGUCAGGCGACACGGAAGGAAGCUGCCCGCCCCUCGGCACCGGGGCAGGCUCAACCUUUGCUCCAAGAGUGUUCAGCAGCACAGGGCCUGGAGUCAGAUUCCCCAGGUUCGAAUCCCAGCCCUGCCAGCCAUGAGCACGUGACCCUGUUGUGACCGAGGCCGGGGACUUGGUGUGCUUGUCUCAGGGUCCAGGUCUGUAAAAUGGGGUAAGGAGACCUCCCUCCCUGCACGGUCGGGAGGACGACGCGGGAUGUGUACCGCCGUUCCCAUCCUCCUCCUCAUGGCUUGGUGUUUACAUGGAGAGCGACCCUCCGACAUGCGGCUCUCAGUGAGUCCCGGGAUCCUGUGUCUACUGCCACUGCCACCUGCUGGGGACAGACCUGAAGGUCAGGGGCAUUCUGCAGCUCUGCUCCGCCCACCAUCCCCAUGUGGAAGGGCCGUCUUUGUUUACUUAGAAAGUUCUAGGAAGAGGGCCCAGGAUUCAACAAGCCAAGAGUACAAGGGAGCCUCCCUACUCUCCAUCUGUUGCAGAUUUGACCAGUUCUGGGCAAAAACAGCCCCGGCCAGAGGACAGCCAUCCAGCACCACAUUUUCUAGAAAAUCUGAAAGUCUCCUAAGCAGUGUAAAUGUGGGAGGGAGGCCCGUCCCCCUGUCCACCAAGGCCCUCUGGUCUCUCCUGGCUCCGCCUGCUCCGGACCCCAGGCAGGGCACAGCCAGAGCCCAGGCUCCCGCAGGUCAGACAUUCAGCAGGAGGGGCCGGUGCUCCUCGUCCGCGGUGUCACCGGGGGGAAUUUCAUAAAUGACGAACAGGGAGGAGUAGAAGCAGCCGAGGAAGGACACGAGGCUGGAAAAGUACAUCACCCCGUUGGCGCUGCCCACAGCCGCGGUCAGGGGCCCCAGGACCAGGGACACCAGAAUCUGGGCCAGGAAGUACUGGCAGCUCAGCAGGGAGAUGUCCAUGCCCAUGCCCCGCCGGGUGCCAUCCACACCGGACCCUGCGAACUGAGCAGAAGAUGACGUGUGUCAGUGAGACCCACCAUGGCCCGCCACGCGGGACCCCGGUGACGAGGUGACCGAACUCUGAGCGUCCUGCAGGCCCGGGUGGCCCACUGAUGGCAGCUUCACAUUUUCCAGCGCUGACGUGCACAGGGAGUCCAGCCAGGAGUUUAAUAAUGUUUGUGUCUGGAGAGAUGACGACACUGAAAAGCAUCUGUGACUAACGGGGCGGGGGGCUGGGCUCUCGCAGGACACGUUCCCCGCGGGGCGCUCUCCCCUUCCUCUCACCCGGGAGGAAACAUCUGCACAGCCGGCUGCCCCGGGCUCCACUCGGCCCCUUCCUCGCCCGUGUUAGGGGCGGCCUGUCACUCGCCUGAAUCACCCUGUCACAGGGACAGCACCCGGACCUUUGCCCGUUUUUCCAGAGGUCCCUGUGGCUCCAGCUGGAGGCUUCCACCCACCGCACCUGCCAGGGGACAGUGGCGAAGACGUGGUCUUUGGGGUGCAGGCCUCGGGCACUGUGCUCAGCCCUGGACCUACCGCCCAGUGGAGGCUGGGGACACACGAGCAUCUAGGGGACUCUGCAGGUCACAGAUUCCCAUCAGCUCCGACUGAAUCUGGUCAGAGUGGCCCUCGGCCCUCUGUGUCCCCUCCCAUGGGGAAGGGCAGUCCUCUGCCACAAACUGGCACAUCCGUUUACCCCAGUGAAGGAGGCAGGGGGCUCCAGGGAGCUGACAAGGGGACACAGCCCAUCUAGUGUGACUGAGCCGGAGCUGAGAGCGCGUCAUGGCUUCCACCCACCCACAGCCCCCGGCAGGCCGGCGACACUGCUUUUCACUCGGGUCUGGUGACCCCGCCAGGGACUGCAAACUCCUUGAAACAAAUCGGGGCCAGGCCUGGCGGGCAACUGCGGCACAAGACUCAAGGGGGCACAAGAAACUUGGUCAUCCAAACAACAUUUAACACGCUGGCUUCAUUCCCAAGUCGCCGCAGAAAGUUCACGGUGGGAACAUCACAUGCCCACAAGAAGGAUCGAGGCGCUGGAAACGUACCACCGAGUCACGGAAGCCGGACGUGGAAGGCCACACGUUGUGAGAAUCUGUUUACGUGACACGUCCGGGAUAGCAAGUCCAUGGGGAUGGAAAGCAGGCCCGCCACCGCGGCCCAGGGGGAAGGGGACGGUGGGGGGGGGGGGGUGUGCUGAGGGCUUCUUUCUGGGGUGACAAACAUGUUCUAAAAUGGAUUGCGGUGAAGGCUGCAUGACCCUGUGGUUACAGUAAAACCCCCCGACUUGUGCAAGUGACACGGGUGAAUGACACUCUAUUGUGCGGUGAAUUAUAUCUCGGCACAGCUGUUAAACGAACACCUGUGCCGAGGAAAAUACCAGCAUUUUUCUAAAAGGCAGGACCAGCGUUCCACAGCUUUCCUUUUGCCUCGGACUCCGGUGUGGCUGGGCCGACACUGUUACGGAUCCUGCCUUUAUUUAAAAUUUGGAUUUUUUUGUUUACUGUGGAUUUUUGCCAUUAAUUCAGAUUUCUGAAAAUACUGUGGUGACAUCUGCCGCACCCUGUGGGAGCCGGUGCAGGACAGGCAGCCAUGAGGGGGACCAGGGAACAGGAAGGACGGACUGUGACAACCAAGUCUUAUUCCAGGCUGGAGUGGCGUGAUCUCUGCGCACCACGGCCUUGACCUCCUGGGCUCAAGCAAGCCCGGCCCCGCAUCUCCAGUAGCUGGAACUGCAGAGCUGGCUACGAGGAAGCUUCUGGAGGGGAGGGAAGGCGAACGCAAAGGGAAAGGCGUGGCUUGGCAGCGGGCGGUGGAAGGAAAGGAGUCAAGUGCUGGGAACCGCCUGCCCCUCGGAACCGAGCACGUCGCAGAAUCGGGAGCCGCAGCACCGCAAGGUGAGGCACGUGGCCUCGUCCACGGGGAGGUCUGGCCUUUGCCCUGGGCCUGAAACGCAGCAUCUGACCAGAGUCCCUGUCUGCCUGGGGCCUUGGGUCCUGCCGUACGGUCUGAUUUAGGGGCCGGCCACACCCGUGUGGUCUCGGAAAAGACUGGUCCUGCCAGAGUGACCAACUCUUUGACCUGGGGCGGGAGUUUUGGUCAUUGAGUAUCAGUCGAUCUGGACACUGUGACCAACUAUAUAGUCAGUCAACCAGUCACACCGCAUAAUGGAGCCCCCGGAAAUCUCUGAAAAUUGGAGCCUGGGGUCCAUGGUUGGCAGUUCUCUGUCCCAUCGUCACGCACUGACGCCUGGAGGCCAAUGCAUCCCGACCCCGUGAGGAGGUAACAGGAGCUUCUGUCUGCUGCUUUCCCUGGACUGUGGCCUGUGCGCUUCCUCCCUCGGGUGAUUUUAAUCUGUGUCCCUUUUCUGUAAUAAACCCUUAG